UUUUCAUUGUGCCUCCGAGCUGAAGCUCCUAAAGGUCCAAUCCUAUGGAGCCCAGCCGAAGGGUAUUCCUGGAAACAGGAGUGCCUCCCGUGUUUGGAAAGGAGGGAUGAGCAUGUUCAU
rnacentral:ncRNA from 2 species